UACGUAGGGUGCAAGCGUUAAUCGGAAUUACUGGGCGUAAAGCGUGCGCGGGCGGUCCGUUAAGACAGAUGUGAAAGCCCCGGGCUCAACCUGGGAAUGGCCGUUGAAACUGGCGAACUGGAGUGUGGCAGAGGGGGGUGGAAUUCCGCGUGUAGCAGUGAAAUGCGUAGAGAUGCGGAGGAACACCGAUGGCGAAGGCAGCCCCCUGGGCUGACACUGACGCUCAGGCACGAAAGCGUGGGGAGCAAACAGG
rnacentral:rRNA from 1 species